rnacentral:sRNA from 1 species
GUCGUGUGCACGCGAGAAAUGGCAAGUACCAGAAGGCAAUAGACGUGUGGGAACGCAAGCUGCCCAAGAGUAAAAGCACCUUAGAAACCACGUGGCUAUGUCACGAGAUUGGGCGAUGCUACUUGGAACUCGGACAGUCUAGGAGCGCCAAGGAGUACGGCGAACGAGCAUUGCAGUCGGCAGUAGAGGCUCAAGAUGACCGCUGGAAGCUGCACGCCUUGGUGUUGAUCUCCCAAGCUGAAGUGAAAUCCCAACGAUUGUCGUCCGCUCUGAUCAGUUUU